GACGAACGCUGGCGGCGUGCUUAACACAUGCAAGUCGAACGGAAAGGCCCUGCUUUUGUGGGGUGCUCGAGUGGCGAACGGUGAGUAACACGUGAGUAACCUGCCCUUGACUUUGGGAUAACUUCAGGAAACUGGGGCUAAUACCGGAUAGGAGCUCCUGCUGCAUGGUGGGGUUGAAGUUUCGGCGGUUGGGGAUGGACUCGCGGCUUAUCAGCUUGUUGGUGGGGUAGUGGCUUACCAAGGCUUUGACGGUAGCCGGCCUGAGAGGGUGACCGGGCCACAUUGGGACUGAGAUACGGCCCAGACUCCUACGGGAGGCAGCAGUGGGGAAUAGUUGCACAAUGGGCGGAAGCCUGAUGCAGC
rnacentral:rRNA from 1 species